GCCCUAGUAGCUCAGCGACCAGAGCGC
rnacentral:tRNA from 1 species